GUUCUCUUGUUUUUUUAGGAGGUCAGGCCUGCCCAGUGAUAUUUUAACGGCCGCGGUAAUUUGACCGUGCAAAGGUAGCAUAAUCAUUAGUCUUUUAAUAGGAGACUGGAAUGAAAGGUUUAACGAAACAUUAACUGUCUCGUGUGUAAAAUUUUAGAAUUUAAUUUUUAAGUUAAAAAGCUUAAAUUUUUUUGGAGGACGAGAAGACCCUAUAGAGCUUUACAUUUAUUUUUUAAUAUUAUUUAGAUAAUAAUUUUAUAUUAAUAUUAUGGUGUUUUGUUGGGGCGACAGAGGAUAUAUGGAAAACUUUCUUAUUUUAUGAACAUAAAUUUAUGUUUUUUUGAUCCAUUUUUAUUGAUUAUUAGAUUAAGUUACCUUAGGGAUAACAGCGUAAUCUUCUUUUGGAGUUCUUAUUUACAAGAAGGCUUGCGACCUCGAUGUUGGAUUAAGAUUAUAUUUUGGUGUAGUAGCUACAAUUAAUAGGUCUGUUCGACCUUUAAAUUCUUACAUGAUCUGAGUUCAGACCGG
rnacentral:rRNA from 1 species